AAAACCUAAACAGGACACUUUCCCCUUAAGAAUGUCGUCAUUCAAUCUUUCAUCGGGAAAAGCUCACCCAUACCAUUAUUAAAAGAAAUGGAAAACCAAAAAUGAAAAUAAACAACUCAUAAAAUUUCCAUGCUUCAUAUGUACAAAGUUCAAGUAUUUCAAACCAAUGAGUACACACAAGGGUAGGGCCACACCCCCAACUAAAGAGACUUUUAGUGACCUCACUACAUAACACAAAAGCAUAAAUAGGGUAAAACGGAUCCUUGAAACCACAAUGAUAACUAAGUGGAAGGCUGGACCCAGAGGUGCGAUUGUGGCCUAAAAGGUGUGAUUGUGUUACCGCAUUCACGGUCUGCAACCCACGAUUGCGGUAACUGAGGCCAUCUAUUCCUCUAUUUUUUCCUAUUUUUCUCUAUGCCACACUUCUAAACUUGGUUAUCCCCUAUUUUAGGCUUCCAACCUAUCCAAAGUACCCACAAAAUAUGAAAAUUAUAUAAAUUAUUCCAAAAAAUAUAUAAAUAAAAAAAUAAAAAUGAUGGGUUGCCUCCCAUAAAGCACAUGAUUUUUCAUCGUAGCACAACGCCUUUUUAUAAUCCCCAUUUGUGCCUCCACUUUGAGGAUUUAAACCUUUUGCCCAAAUUUUCAUCAUUCCAUCUCCGAGGCUCUAUGGGCAAAAUUAGGAGCAUGACGAUGCAUGUUCUAUCAUGCCACUUCGAAGACUUGAACUUCUUACACAAUUUGACGUCGAACUUUCAGUUUGGCUUCUUGGAAAAAGGUGAACACAUCAAUAGGAUACUCAUUGUACAUCAAAAGCUUUGCUCUUUGGCCUUUGAUGGAUGGGGUUCCAAUUGCUCUCUUGGAAUGUUAAAUUCCAAAAUAUAGGAAUCAGACUCCGUCUUCCUACAAUCUAUUAUUCGUCUAGGUGGAUGGAUUCUCAUCAUAUCCUCUAG
rnacentral:lncRNA from 1 species